AGAGAGGCAACUCUUUCCCUUCACAAUAUCAACCUAUAUCUUUAACAACGUUCGUCUGAUAACAUAUUAUGAAUAUACUUAAUUCAAAAUAUAACUUUCAACAACGGAUCUCUUGGCUCUCGCGUCGAUGAAGAACGCAGCGAAAUGCGAUACGUAAUGUGAAUUGCAGAAUUCAGUGAAUCAUCGAAUCUUUGAACGCAUAUUGCGCUCUUUGGCAUUCCGAGGAGCAUGCUUGUUUGAGUAUCAGUAAACACCUCAAAGCUUUUGGAUUGUUUUUUCAAAAGGCGUUGGACUUGAGCUAUCCCAACCCCAAUCCUUCUGACAUCGGUAGGCGGGUGGCUUGAAAUGCAGGUGCAGCUGGACAUUUUCCUGAGCUAAAAGCAUAUUCAUUUAGUCCUCGUCAAACAGGAUUAUUACUAUUGCUGCAGCUAACAUAAAGGGAGUUUGACCGUAUUGGCUGACUGAUGCAGGAUUUCACAAGACACUUCAUCGAUCUUGUUCAACUCGAUCUCAAAUCAAGUAAGACUACCCGCUGAACU
rnacentral:rRNA from 1 species